UCUACUUAUCUGACUGCAGAGAGGAUGACAGAGAACAGUGGACACACAGUUUAACAUGAUGGACUAUAGGACAGGACUGCUGCUUUUAACUCUCUGCUGGGCAGGUGUUGAUGGUCAGACUUUGACAGAAUCUGAACCAGUGGUUAAAAGACCUGGAGAAUCCCACACACUGACCUGUACAGCCUCUGGAUUCACAUUCAGCAGCUACGGUAUGGCCUGGAUCAGACAGGCUCCUGGAAAAAGACUGGAGUGGAUUGCUUACAUAAGCACAGAUAGUUCUCCUAUCUAUUACUCCCAGUCAGUCCAGGGUAGAUUCACCAUCUCCAGAGAUGACUCCAGCAGUAAAGUCUAUCUACAGAUGAACAGUUUGAAGACUGAGGACACAGCAGUGUAUUACUGUGCCAGAGACACACUGAGAGACAGUAAUAGGAGAGUCAUACAAGAACUACUUCCUCUAUUUAUCACCACCACAUUUAGUUUCUUCAGUAUAACCUUUCAGUGACUCUGAUCAUGAGUUUAUGUUUUUGUUGACAGUGCUGAAAUUAAGAUAUUUUCCAGUCUUGCUUUUUCAAAAUAUGUAUUUGAAGGACAUACAUUUUCCCUGCAGCAGUUAGAUAUUUGAUGAAAACCUUGUAGUAAUGUAGCCACACUGAAUAUAUGCUUUAUUGUUUGGUUUGAGACACCCUAUCUUGUUGUUUGUAGGGAAUUUAUGGACUUAUGGACUAUGAAAUAUGAAAUAUGAUGAAUCUAAUGUAUUAAGCCUGUUGCUUUGCUUUGAUUUUUGACACAUCUACACAGUGAUAAAGGUAAAAUCAAAUGUGAUCAUAAUUACAAAAAGUCAUUCACAAGUACAUGAACCAGCCCACAUUUCAUUGAAACUGAAGGAUGUCUUUUUUUUUGCAUAUUAUCACACUGG